GGGAUAGUUUAAUUGAUAAGAGCAUGAGACUCUUAAUCUCAGGAUCAUGGAUUUGAGCCCCAUGCAGUGGCAGAGCUUCA